UACGGAGGGUGCAAGCGUUGUUCGGAAUUAUUGGGCGUAAAGCGCGCGUAGGCGGAUCGUUUAGUCUGGUGUGAAAUCCCUCGGCUCAACCGAGGAAUGGCACUGGAUACUGGCAAUCUGGAGUCCUGGAGAGGGUGGCGGAAUUCCCAGUGUAGAGGUGAAAUUCGUAGAUAUUGGGAGGAACACCGGCGGCGAAGGCGGCCACCUGGACAGUGACUGACGCUGAUGCGCGAAAGCAUGGGUAGCAAACAGG
rnacentral:rRNA from 1 species